CCUAGGUUAAACGCACUCACCUUUUGGUUUUUCUUUUUCAUUUGUUAUUUUUCUUAUUUUGCACUUAAUAACACCUCGUGCGCUCAAUAUAAUUUUUGUUGGUUCUCUUUUAUUUUGACUGUUAGUUUCAUUGUGUUCACUCUAACUUAAUAAAAGAAACAACAAAUUUCGCCCCGACGACCUGUGUUCAAUUUAUUUCUCCUCACACCGUUCUCAACCACAUUCCUGACGACGUAACAAGACCAGUUCAAUGGACGCCCAUGAGUGCUUGGAUGUUAGGCUGUUGUAUGAGACAAGUCUGACAGGAAGAUGUCAUCGGUGGUGCAUCGGUCAGCUCCUUUUCUGUUUCGCCGAUGAAGCUAAUUGCUGCCGGAGAGGUGUCAUCAUCACGGACGCGAUCGCUGUCCAUCGGUUCGUACAACUCGUUACGGCCUCCACACAGAGACUCGUCCGCCGACCCGUUUGCGUCUUCUUCGAUGUUCACUUGAGCGCCCACGGAACACUGAAAUUGUAAUAAAUCAAAAAUGAAAUUAUUAUUAUCGUUAUUAUUUUCGCGAUUUUUCUCUUGUAUUACUCAACAUAGCAUGUAAUAUACUGAUGGCAUUCCUACCAUUAAUUUUAUCAUUCUUGCAUGUUUCAUCCCCCGAUUAUAGUUUUUCUUAAUUAAUUUUAAACACGAGCUUUCUAAUGGUACAGAUAUUUGUAAUACAAAUAAAAUAAUACUUUUAUUUUUUGAAAAAUGCAAUUUUUUUAUAAUCCAUAGUAUCGAAAAUUGAAAAUAUAAUAUCUUAUAUUUUUCAUAGUAUAUUUUAGGUGUACAUAUACACAGUAUAAUUCCGUAAUAAGUGACUGAAGUUAAUUCAAAUAGAAAUUCGAUGCAAAUGUUCUUACGUAUUUAUCGUCAUGAAAUUUAAUUCCCUGCUAUCUCAGAAUGUUGUAUAAUCCAAGUCGGAUAAGCAUCUAAAAUGAAGUCACACAUCGAACUCAUGUUUUAAAACCUAUCGAUACCACAAUAACGGGAAACAACUAGAAAAUCAUGUCAAUCAUAAACGAGUGUGGUUGACGUGAGUAUAAAAUGUCACGUGACGCCGUAACCUGGUCCCUGGUAGUCAACUGGUAGACGUUCAUCAUAUGUGCCGAUUGCGCGUGCACCAUGAGAUCCCAAGCGCUAUCGAAUGAUUCUUUACACUGGACGCACACUAAAGAUAUGCAGCCUUCGUUCAAGUUUCCGGGCCAUUCUGCAGGACAAGAGAAACAAAUAUUUGUAUAGGAAAAACAUAUAUUAAGGCUUGAUUGAGUUGUUACACUUGCACGUGAACCUGAGCUUGCAGUAUUCCUUCUUGUGAUCCAACAAACCUUGCAGUUCAGUGAACAUCUCUCGACAGUUACCACAUAUCAGUAUGUCUGGAUUGCCUGAGAAAUAUCAAUAGGUUAAUACAGUUCUGUAUAGGUAUAAAUUAUUAUCACGUAUGUUUUCGAUUGCGCACUAAAAUUCAACUAUAAUCGAGAAAAACAAAUGAUCGAAAACACAAUAAUACGGAUAACUGGGAUAAAACGCCUUGACGAUUGAAAUAGGAAUAAAAUUAAAUCAUUAAAUUUGGUAUCUUGAACGAUUUCGUGACCUUCAUUAUGUACUGAGCAUACAUAACCAUAUUACAAG